GGGACUGUUAGGUUUCUACAUAUAAUAUAUUAUAUAGUAUAUCAUAAAUAUAAGCUUUAUUAGUUUUAAUAAUAAAUGCUAAACAUAAUAUAUUAACUUUAUCUAAAAAAAUAGUUUAUGUAUAAAUAACUAUAAAUUUUUAUUAGAGAUCGAAUAACAUAUACCUAUAUAUUUAUUUGAUAUGUUUUAUUUAGGUGCUCUUAAGUAUAUCUUAUUUACUAUAAGAUAAGUAUAUGAUAAAUUGAUACUUUAUUUCUAUCGGAUUUAGCUAUAUAUUAUAUUAUUAUGGACGUGGGUUCAAUUCCCACCAGUUCCA
rnacentral:tmRNA from 2 species